rnacentral:tRNA from 1 species
GCCUGGGUGGCUCAGUCGGUUGAGCAUCCGACUUCAGCUCAGGUCACGAUCUCACGGUCCGUGAGUUCGAGCCCCACCUCAGGCU